rnacentral:tRNA from 2 species
UGGUCAAGUGGUUAAGACACCGCCCUUUCACGGCGGUAACACGGGUUCGAAUCCCGUACGGGUCA